AUAUUGUUUUUACAUUAUAAAAUAUUUUAAAAAAUUUAUAAACACUUAUAAUUUUUUUCCUUCGGUAUUUUAAAAUUACGAUUGCAACUGCUAACGAGAAAGCAUAGGAUUUCAUAUAUUUUUUUUAUAAUAAUUGCAUCUGUAAUUUUAGAAUAUAAAAAAUAAUUGAAAGCAUUUAUGAAAUAUUAGAUGUUUUAUAGCAUAAUAAUAAUAAUAAUAAUAAUAAUAAUAAUAAUAAUAUUAUUAUUAUUAUUAUUA
rnacentral:lncRNA from 1 species